rnacentral:lncRNA from 1 species
UUUGGAUAUAGUUUGUUCUGCCGUAGGUAAGGGUGUGUUUGGUUCCAUGUAAAAUUAUGAAAAAAAAAAUUUCGGUGAAAAAUUUUUUUUUAGUGGAGAACAAAUUUUACGUUCUUUAGUGUUUGACUUGGGAAAAAAAGAAAAAAAAGUUUUUCAUUACGAUUGUUUGGUUGAGAAAAAAAAAAACUAUUUAAUAUAUUUUUAUUAUAUAUAUUAUUAAUAUAUAACAAUUACUAUACUACAUAUAUUUAUUAUUAUUAUUAUUUAUAUUUAUAGAUUAAAAUUAUAAUAAUC